rnacentral:rRNA from 1 species
GUGCCAGCAGCUGCGGUAACACGUAGGGGCGAGCGUUGUUCGGAAUCAUUGGGCGUAAAGGGCGCGCAGGCGGCGAGGCAAGUCCGGUGUGAAAGUGCUCGGCUCAACCGAGUGAUGCGCUGGAAACUGCCCUGCUUGAGUACAGGAGGGGACGUCGGAAUUCCAGGUGUAGGGGUGAAAUCUGUAGAUAUCUGGAAGAACACCGGUGGCGAAGGCGGACGUCUGGCCAUGUACUGACGCUGAGGCGCGAAGGUGCGGGAGCGAACAGGUUUAGAUACCCGUGGUAGUCCGCACAGUAAACGAUGUGCACCAGGGUGGCGGGGUAGCCCGUCGGUACCGAAGCCAACGCAUAAGUGCACCGCCUGGGAGUAUGCUCGCAAGGGUGAAC